rnacentral:misc_RNA from 1 species
AACGCAUCUUGCGCUCCUUGGUAUUCCGAGGAGCAUGCCUGUUUGAGUGUCAUUUUGAACUCUCAAAGCCCCACGUUUUUGACGUGGCUUUGGACCUGAGGGCUUUUGCAGGCUUUUAUUAUAAAAAAGGCCUGCUCCCUUGAAAUUCAUCAGUGGUAUCUGGAGCGGAAACCGCUAGGUGUUGAUAACAUUCAUCUAUGCCUUUGGGUAUGCCGCGCGAAUGUGCUGCUUCCAACGACCACAUGCUCUUUGACAAACUUGACCUCAAAUCAGGUAGGACUACCCGCUGAACUUAA